rnacentral:rRNA from 1 species
AUUGAACGCUGGCGGCAGGCCUAACACAUGCAAGUCGAACGAGUGGCGGACGGGUGAGUAAUGUCUGGGAAACUGCCCGAUGGAGGGGGAUAACUACUGGAAACGGUAGCUAAUAACGCAUAGCAUCGGAUGGGCCCAGAUGGGGGUAGCUAGUAGGUGGGGUAACGGCUCACCUAGGCGACGAACCCUAGCUGGUCUGAGAGGAUGACCAGCCACACUGUCACUGCGACCCGUUCCAGACUCCUACGGGAGGCAGCAGUGGGGAAUAUUGCACAAUUGGCGCAAACCUGAUGCAGCCAUGCCGCGUGUAUGCAGAAGGCCUUCGGGUUGUAAAGUACUUUCAGCGAGGAGGCGUUACUCUCAGAAGAAGCACCGGCUAACUCCGUGCCAGCAGCCGCGGUAAUAC